AAUGUCAGCUGUGUUACUAGGCAACAUGGCUUAUGGUAAAAAUGACCCAUUGGUAAAUUGCUUGGGUCUGAGAGGGACUAAAAAUACCUGGAGAGUGGCUGUAACUUUGGACUUCUCCUAGUGUGGUGACUCCUGUAACCGAGCCUGUACCCCGUGGGGAUCCUAGAAACCUUGCUCAUGGGUGGUCAUACAAGUCUCCUGCAGAGAAGAGACACUCAUUCAUUUCUAACCUCAUCACAACCAACAUAGUAUAAUGCUUAUGAAAAGAUUGUCCUGAGAUACUGCAAAAGCCACGUACAGACAUGCAGUAUGUGUAGUGAUCCCGCCAGUCAAUUCGAAUAAUAAUAUGAAGAUUUACAAAUACAUGUUCCUGUGAGUUCAUCUACAGCAAAAUGAAAUAAAGAACUUAGUCAAUUGUACAGGUACAUUCAAAAAUGACUUUGCUACAAUUAUCUUGAUAUUUAGCCAUUUAUUGAUCAGUGGUGGGGAGAGGGGUUUGUUUGAACUCUCCAAAUAAAAGCCUUAAUGUUUUACUACCUUUC